ACGAACGCUGGCGGCGUGCUUAACACAUGCAAGUCGAACGCUGAAGACCUGGCUUUUGUUGGGUUGGAUGAGUGGCGAACGGGUGAGUAACACGUGAGUAACCUGCCCUCUUCUUUGGGAUAACGCCCGGAAACGGGUGCUAAUACUGGAUAUUCACUGGCCUUCGCAUGGGGGUUGGUGGAAAGGUUUGUUCUGGUGGGGGAUGGGCUCGCGGCCUAUCAGCUUGUUGGUGGGGUGAUGGCCUACCAAGGCUUUGACGGGUAGCCGGCCUGAGAGGGUGACCGGUCACAUUGGGACUGAGAUACGACCCAGACUCCUACGGGAGGCAGCAGUGGGGAAUAUUGCACAAUGGGCGAAAGCCUGAUGCAGCGACGCCGCGUGAGGGAUGGAGGCCUUCGGGUUGUAAACCUCUUUCGCUCAUGGUCAAGCCGCAACUGUGGGUUGUGGUGAGGGUAGUGGGUAAAGAAGCGCCGGCUAACUACGUG
rnacentral:rRNA from 1 species